AACGAACGCUGGCGGCAGGCUUAACACAUGCAAGUCGAACGGUUGUAGCAAUACAGCAGUGGCGCACGAGUGAGUAACGCGUGGAUAUCUGCCUUUUGGUUCGGAAUAACUCCGGGAAACUGGAGCUGAUACCGGAUGGUUCCUACGGGAUAAAGAUUUAUCGCCAAAAGAUGAGUCCGCGUACGAUUAGCUAGUUGGUGAGGUAAUGGCUCACCAAGGCGACGAUCGUUAGCUGGUCUGAGAGGACGAUCAGCCACACUGGGACUGAGACACGGCCCAGACUCCUACGGGAGGCAGCAGUGGGGAAUAUUGGACAAUGGGGGCAACCCUGAUCCAGCCAUGCCGCGUGAGUGAUGAAGGCCUUCGGGUUGUAAAGCUCUUUUGGCGGGGACGAUGAUGACGGUACCCGCAGAAUAAGCCCCGGCUAACUUCGUGCCAGCCGCCGCAGUAACAC
rnacentral:rRNA from 1 species